rnacentral:lncRNA from 1 species
GUGGUGUUUGGAUGAACUAGUUCAUAUCCUUGGAUGUAGAAGAUCAAAUAACCAAAUGGUUCGGCCAAUCUUUUACAAAGUGGAUCCAUCGGACGUAAGACACCAAGGAGGCAAAUUUGGUGAGGCAUUGCAGAGCAUGAGCGCAGAUUCAAGGAUGACAUGGACAAGGUGUUAAGAUGGAGAGCAGCUCUUUCAGAAGCAGC